rnacentral:rRNA from 1 species
AGUGAACGCUGGCGGUAGGCCUAACACAUGCAAGUCGAACGGCAGCACAGUAAGAGCUUGCUCUUACGGGUGGCGAGUGGCGGACGGGUGAGGAAUACAUCGGAAUCUACUUUUUCGUGGGGGAUAACGUAGGGGAACUUACGCUAAUACCGCAUACGACCUACGGGUGAAACCGGGGGUCUUCGGACCUUGCGCGAUUUGAUUAGCCGAUGUCGGAUUAGCUAGGUGGCGGGGUAAAGGCCCACCAAGGCGACGAUCCGUAGCUGGUCUGAGAGGAUGAUCAGCCACACUGGAACUGAGACACGGUCCAGACUCCUACGGGAGGCAGCAGUGGGGAAUAUUGGACAAUGGGCGCAAGCCUGAUCCAGCCAUACCGCGUGGGUGAAGAAGGCCUUCGGGUUGUAAAGCCCUUUUGUUGGGAAAGAAAAGCAGCAGGUUAAUACCCCGCUGUUCUGACGGUACCCAAAGAAUAAGCACCGGCUAACUUCGUG